GUGCUCACUUUGGCAGCAAAUAUACUAAAAUUGGAAUGAUGCAGAAAUUAGCAUGACCCUGGUGCAAGGAUGACAGGCAGAUUUGUGAAAUGUUCCAUUUAAAA
ensembl:snRNA U6 U6 spliceosomal RNA